AGAGUUGAUCAUGGCUCAGGAUGAACGCUAGCGGCAGGCUAACACAUGCAAGUCGAGGGGCAGCGGGAUGUAGCAAUACAUUGCCGGCGACCGGCGGAUGGGUGCGUAACGCGUAUGCAACCUACCUUAUACAGGGGAAUAACCUUUCGAAAGGGAGACUAACACCCCAUAGUAUUGAUUUAAGGCAUCUUAGAUUAAUUAAAUAUUUAUAGGUAUAAGAUGGGCAUGCGUAUGAUUAGCUAGUUGGUAAGGUAACGGCUUACCAAGGCGACGAUCAUUAGGGGUUCUGAGAGGAAGGUCCCCCACACUGGUACUGAGACACGGACCAGACUCCUACGGGAGGCAGCAGUGAGGAAUAUUGGUCAAUGGGCGCAAGCCUGAACCAGCCAUGCCGCGUGCAAGGAAGACGGCCUUAUGGGUUGUAAACUGCUUUUACAUAAGACUAACCGUAUAUUUGCGAAUAUACCUGAAUGUAUUAUGAGAAUAAGGAUCGGCUAACUCCGUGCCAGCCGCCGC
rnacentral:rRNA from 1 species